rnacentral:misc_RNA from 1 species
UAGGCGCUUGCCUAGGUUCUCACCUGAGCUAAUUUCGACCAGUAGGUCCUGCACAGCAGGGACAGCCAUUCAUUCCGGUGGCUCCCCAACUGUUUUGGCCUAUUGGACAAGGGAUGUCGGCUGGUCAGAGUCAGCCGCUGCAGUUUUCUCAACCAAUGCAGCAAUUGCCACAAUGGCCAAAUCAGCCUGGCCAUUCUACACCUCCAUCACAAGCUGUACCUUUGCUAUAUGUUCUUCCAAAUAGGCCAUUGACUACGGGUCCACCACAGUUGCAGCAAACUGCCCCCCCUGUAACUUUUGCACCAUCUUCUUUUGGCCAGCCACAAAACAAUGUCAGUGCAUCAUCCCAGUUCCAGCCAAUACGUCAAAUGUAUGCACCUGUUGUUCCUGUAGGGGGACAACCUUGGUUGGCCUCUAGAAGCAAUGGCGUAUUAAUUGCUACAGCAGUGCAGCCAACUGGGCAGCAACCUUCUGCAACUUCUACUUCAGAUCCAGUAUGUGCUUUUUCUCUUUUUCUGCUUCUAUUUGGCCAUGUUAUAUUUAUAAUGCUCAUGUUUUCAUAUUGCCCAACAUUGUUAAUGAAGAAAUGUGCCAUCGGAGAUUGUGUCAUACUUGUUUUUAUGUUCUUCAUAUAAACUUGGAUGAGGUGAUAUCUCCUAAUAUGCAGGCAAUAAGGUUGGUUCAUGACCCUUUCAAUCAUCCAGGUAGACAGUGAUUUGGGCUUUUUAGCAUAGUUUGUCAGUAAGAAACCUAAUAAGGUCUUAAGGAUUGGUUAUUCAUUGUAACUUGUAUUUCUCUCAUUUCAUGAUGCUUAAUAUGAAGUUUUUGAUCCAAAUAUCAUGAAUUGGCUAUGAUUUAGUGCUGUCACGUAUACGUGCUCCCUGAAGCAAUAAUAGGUGUUCAAAAUGCUUUAUACUGCUAAAGACAUUUCAAUUUUCUAUAGUGGAAAGUGUGGUUGUCAGUUUACAACUGUGGCUAACUAUUUCUUUCUUUUUUUAUUUUUUUUUCUCCUCUAGGCAUCAUUACGUGCCCAUUUACAGUCACUGAUUUUCGAGACCUGACUGGCUAUGGUCAACUGAUUAUUGAUUCUCUUACUCUUCUUUUUUUUUAUUUUUAUUUUUUUUAUGUUGUUUCAGGUAGUAAAUGCUCCUAGCUUUAAUCAUCAGUCUUUAUCUGACUGCUAAGAGCGUGAUGGGAGGAGUUUUGGUUUUUCUUGUAGUUGUGAUUUUUGUUCUUUGUGAUGUUAUUCAAAAUAUUCACUUCUAUUGAUAUCACCUUUUUAAGAGAGCAUGUUUUAUUGCUAUAGUUUAUAAUUAUCACCUUCUGUCUCCAUAUUAUUUUGUCUAGUAAUUAUUCAAUACAGUCCUCUUCUUUUUAUAAUACUUGAUAGCCAGUGAAUGUGUUCUUCUAGAUAUCACUACAGCAAGAGAACAAAACAAUCUAGUUGGGAGAAGCCCUUUGAGUUGAUGGCAGCGAUUGAGGUGAGUCAAUCUCCAGUGGUAGCUAUUGGUAUAUCUGAAUUCUGAAAUGUCGUCUCUGUUUUGCCCCACACAUGUUUUAGAAUGUUUUGGUAUUUGUUCCAAACUGUGUUCCCUUUUAUGCAUGUUGCAAUUGUAGCCACCCAAAAGUUGAUCAAAUUUGUUUUAUUUGGAUUCUCCUUUUCUUUGCAUGUUUCUUUAUUGGUUUGUAGAUGUCAUGGCAAAUGGAGAAAUUUAACGACUGCUCUGCAUGCUCACUUUGAAGGGGGCUGAUGCUUCAACAGUCUAGAAGGAGUUCACCAAUCCAGAGGGAAAAAAAUAUUACUAUAACAAAGUUACAAAGCAAUCUAAGUGGUCAAUGCCAGAGGAAUUGAAGUUAGCUCUUGAACAGGCUCAGCAAACAGUUAGCCAGGGAACCCAAUCUGAAGCUGAUGCAGCUUCUCAUGCCUUAACUGCAGUUGCUGUUACCUUGAGUGAAACAUCCGCAACAGCAAUUUCAGUUAGUUCCAGCUCUUCAGCAUUAUUUGGAGUAGCCUCAAGCCGAAUUCCAAUCACACCUGUUGCUGCUGUUUCUAAUCCUGCAGUCGUAGUUUCUGGUUCAUCAGCCCUGCCUGUUGCACAAUCUAACAUAGCAAAUGCUGCUGCUGUCCAACCUCCUGUGGUAACCUUGACUCCUUUACCCACUGCUGUUUCAGGGAGUUCUAGUGUUACUGCUGCUUUGGUUAAUGCCAAGACAUCACUAAGUGGCCUUGAUAAUGUUGCAUCUCAAGUUGCUGCCAGUUCUGUAGAUGGAGCAUCUGUGCUGCAUACUGAGGAAGUGAGAAAAGGAAUGGCAGUUGCAGGAAAAAGUGAUGCCAAUCCAUUAGAGGAGAAAACUCCGGAUGAUGAACCUUUAGUGUUUGCUAGUAAACAGGAGGCUAAAAAUGCAUUCAAAGCUCUCCUGGAAUCUGCUAAUGUUCAGUCUGAUUGGACUUGGGAGCAGACAAUGAGAGAGAUCAUUAAUGACAAGAGAUAUGGUGCUCUUAAAACACCUGGUGAACGGAAGCAAGCAUUUAAUGAGUACUUAGGACAAAAGAGAAAACAGGAGGCUGAGGAAAGGCGGAGUAAACAGAAAAAAGCAAGGGAAGAUUUCAAGAAUAUGCUAGAAGAAUCCAGAGAGCUUUCAUCAACCACGAGAUGGAGCAAAGCAGUGACAAUGUUUGAAAAUGAUGAGCGUUUUAAAGCUGUUGAACGAGAAAGAGACCGCAGAGAUCUGUUUGAUGCCCACUUGCAGGAACUUGAAGGAAAUGAGCGAGCAAAGAUACAGGAGGAGCGCAAACGGAAUAUUAUGGAGUAUAGGCAAUUUUUGGAAUCUUGUGACUUUAUUAAGGCUAGCACACAGUGGCGAAAAGUUCAGGAUCGGUUAGAGGCAGAUGAGAGAUGUUCUCGUCUUGAAAAAAUUGAUCGCUUGGAUAUUUUCCAGGAUUAUUUACGUGAUUUAGAGAAGGAAGAGGAAGAGCAGAGGAAGAUCCAGAAGGAAGAACUGAGAAAGACAGAGCGUAAAAAUCGUGAUGAAUUCCGCAAGCUAUUAGAAGAACAUGUUGCUGCUGGCAGUCUGACAGCCAAAACCCAUUGGCGUGAUUAUUACUUGAAGGUUAAAGAUUUACCUGCAUAUUUGGCUGUUGCGUCAAACACCUCAGGUUCAACUCCAAAAGAUUUGUUUGAAGAUGUUGCUGAGGAGCUAGAGAAACAGUAUCAUGAGGAUAAGACUCGGAUAAAGAAUGUUGUGAAGUUGAAAAAGGUUGUUUUGCCAUCAACCUGGACUCUUGAAGAUUUUAAGGCUGCUAUUGUGGAGGAUGUCAGCCCUCCACCUGUAUCAGAUGUGAAUCUAAAGAUAGUAUUUGACGAAUUGCUGGAAAGAGCCAAGGAAAAGGAGGAGAAAGAAGCAAAGAAGCGUAAACGUCUUGCAGAUGAAUUUCUGAAUUUAUUGCACUCUAUUAAGGAAAUAACUGCAUCUUCAAAAUGGGAGACCUGUAAAGAACUUUUUGAAGGAAGCCGAGAGUUCAGUUCUAUCAAUGAGGAGGGCAUAUGCGAGGAGAUAUUUGAGGAAUACAUAGCUCAAUUGAAAGAACAGGCAAAGGAGAAUGAGAGGAAACGGAAGGAGGAAAAGGCUAAAAAGGAAAAGGAGAGAGAGGAAAGGGACAGGAGAAAGUCAAAGCAUAGAAGUGACAAAGAGAGAGGGCAUGAAAGGGAAAAGGAGCACAUAAAGAAGGAUGAAGCUGACACUGAAAUUUUUGACCUAACAGAAGAUCAUUUUUGUAAUGAUAACAGAAGAUCAGUGAAUGACAAUAACAAGAAACAUAGGAAGAGGCAUAACGAUUCUGUGGAUGAUCUAAAUGAGAGCGAGAAAGAUCGGUCUAAGAGUUCCCACAGACAUAGCAGUGACCACAAAAAGUCAAGACGGCAUGCCUCCACUCCUGAUUCAGAUGGUGAAAGCAGACAUAAGAGACAUAAGAGAGACCAUCGUAAUGGUUCUCGCAGAAAUGGUGAUCAUCAGGACCUUGAAGAUGGGGAAUUUGGUGAUGAUGGGGAAACUUGGUAGAUAUCUUAUCCUACAGGUGGUUUUUUGCCCUCUGUGCUAUAUCUGUAGUGGAAGAUGUUUGUUUUCUGUAGUGUACUUUAUAUUUUCAGCUUACUGUAGUUUCUACCUGCAAUGGCUUCUGCUUUAGUCAGCCCAUUUCUAUGUAACAGUAACAGGCAUUUGGAUAGUUUUUGAGAUGAGUCUAAUUGUUUUAUAACUUUGCAAAAUAAUUUAAGAAAAUCUAAAUAUUAGGGAAAUUACAUAGAACUCAAUUCUUUUUUACCUAUGUAGGUAUCAUGUUUUUAGUUACUGAUUAAGCUAGAGUUUGCAUCCACUGAAUCAAGGAAAUAAGGAAAUAAAUAAAAUGUCAAAUUUCAU